rnacentral:lncRNA from 1 species
CAAGCUCAUCCUCUGAUUGCCUCUGCCUUGAGGUUUUGUUGACACUGUUAACUUACUAAUGACUGAACAACUGGCUUCCCAUCCCCUAGGAAAACAUAGAAAAGGCUGCCUUUGUCAAGCUGUACUUAAUCUCUCAAGGACGACUCCCGUUGAUGAGCCUGACUGAUUUACUCACUGCUGCUAUGCAACACCCCUCGAAGGAGACUCUAGCCUGGAUGAUCCUGCACAGCUUAUACCAGGCACGCAUUGUCAAUCACACCAACACAGGUGUACUGAAGAGACUGGAGUGGCUCCUGGAGCUGAUGGGUUAUAUGAGAAACAUUGCUUACCAGUCGGCGUCUGCUCAGAAUGUGCCUCCUGCGGAGGCUUUGGACUUCUUGAUGCUGAUAUUUGCUGCUGCAGUGGUAGCAU